ACAAACGUUAUCCGGAGUUACUGGGCGUAAAGGGCGUGCAGGCGGUCGACUAAGUCUGGCGUGAAAGCUCUCGGCUAAACCGGGAGAGGUCGUUGGAUACUGGUUGACUAGAGGACGGUAGAGGCGUGUGGAAUUCCGGGUGUAGUGGUGAAAUGCGCAGAGAUCCGGAGGAACACCAGUGGCGAAGGCGACACGCUGGGCCGUACCUGACGCUGAUACGCGACAGCAUGGGGAGCGAACGGG
rnacentral:rRNA from 1 species